CCUACGGGAGGCAGCAGUGAGGAAUAUUGGUCAAUGGCCGUAAGGCUGAACCAGCCAAGCAGCGUGAGGGGAGACUGCCCUAUGGGUUGUAAACCUCUUUUGUGCGGGGAUAAUGGUGUCCACGUGUGGCUGUUUGAAAGUAACGCAUGAAUAAGGAUCGGCUAAUUCCGUGCCAGCAGCCGCGGUAAUACGGGAGGUUCGAGCGUUAUCCGGAUUGAUUGGGUUUAAAAGGAGCGUAGGCGGGUCUUUAAGUGUGCCGUGAAAUUUUGGGGCUCAAACAUGGGAAAGCGGCGCUCACUGGAGACCUUGAGCGCGCGGAAGGCAGGCGGAAUGCGUGGUGUAGCUGUGAAAUGCUUAGAUAUCACGAAGAACCCCGAUUGCGAAGGCAGCCUGCCGCAGCGUUACUGACGCUGAGGCUCGAAAGCGCGGGUAUCGAACAGGAUUAGAUACCCGUGUAGUC
rnacentral:rRNA from 1 species